CCAAUAGCGUAUAUUAAAGUUGUUGCAGUUAAAAAGCUCGUAGUUGAAUUUCGGGAUUAGUACGUUGGUCGUGCCUUGGUACGUACUGGUGUAACUGAUUCCUCCCUUCUGACGAACCGUUAUGCCAUUAAUUUGGUGUGGCGGGAAAUCAGGACUGUUACUUUGAAAAAAUUAGAGUGUUUAAAGCAGGCUCGCGCUUGAAUACAUUAGCAUGGAAUAAUGAAAUAGGACGUUAAUCCUAUUUUGUUGGUUUAUAGGAUCGACGUAAUGAUUAAUAGGGAUAGUUGGGGGCAUUAGUAUUCAAUUGUCAGAGGUGAAAUUCUUGGAUUUAUUGAAGACUAAGUACUGCGAAAGCAUUUGCCAAGGAUGUUUUCAUUAAUCAAGAACGAAAGUUAGGGGAUCGAAGACGAUCAGAUACCGUCGUAGUCUUAACUAUAAACUAAGCCGACUAGGGAUCGGAUGAUGUUAAUUUUUUAAUGACUCAUUCGGCGCCUUACG
rnacentral:misc_RNA from 1 species